GCAUUCAUUCGGCAAUUACAUAUGGAGCCUU
rnacentral:piRNA from 1 species